rnacentral:rRNA from 1 species
CUACCAUGGCGUUUACGGGUAACGGAGGAUUAGGGUUCGAUUCCGGAGAGGGAGCCUGAGAAACGGCUACCACAUCUAAGGAAGGCAGCAGGCGCGUAAAUUACCCAAUCCUGACUCAGGGAGGUAGUGACAAGAAAUAACGGACCGAGGUCUUACGGCUUCGGGAUUGCAAUGAGCCGAAUUUACACCCCUUAGCGAGAAUCGAUUGGAGGGCAAGUCUGGUGCCAGCAGCCGCGGUAAUUCCAGCUCCAAUAGCGUAUAUUAAAGUUGUUGCAGUUAAAAAGCUCGUAGUUGGAUUUCUGGGAGGGUGCCAUUGUCCGCCAACGCGCGUGUGCAGCGGCGCCCUUCCAUCCUUCUGUUAACGCCUCUUGGCAUUCACUUGCUGGUGGCGGGCUCAGAUAUUUUACCUUGAGAAAAUUAGAGUGUUUCAGGCAGGCUAGGCCGGAAUACAUUAGCAUGGAAUAAUGGAAUAGGACUAUGGUCUCUUUGUUGGUUUGAGGGACUGCAGUAAUGAUUAAUAGGGAUAGUUGGGGGCAUUAGUAUUUAAUUGUCAGAGGUGGAAUUCUCAGAUUUGUUAAAGACUAACUUAUGCGAAAGCAUUUGCCAAGGAUGUUUUCAUUAAUCAA